rfam:Nasonia vitripennis chromosome 1, whole genome shotgun sequence.
CAAUCGGCCCUUUUUAGGGCCACCAUAUCAUUCAAACGUGAACAU